rnacentral:misc_RNA from 1 species
UUAAUAAUAUGAAUGAUUUAUUAAUUAUACGGAGAUGAACUACAUGGGUAAUACUGCAAUAGCACCGUCAUCAGAGAUACAAGCUUAACAAAGAUCAUUUCGUCCGGCUGGUCACCUACAAAUUUUCUUAUUUAAAUCAAUCCUAUAAAUGAAAUCUUCUUCUAGCUGCUCAAAAUCUCAGCACAUAACUAUGCACCAAAAAAACAAAUAUUAUGCUCUGAAUUUAUAAAGCAAAUGUAUGCAAAUUUUCCCUUCAACAUGCAUUACAGCUCUUUCUACAUGUCCCAUAGUAAUCAGGAGAACCCGUCAUAAACACUGGGUUCCUUUGGCAUUCCCCAAGAGCAGCCCACCUGGGACAACUGUCAUCCUCAUCAGUGCAUUCGCUGACAUCUGAUUCAGACAGGGCCUUUCCUCCAUUACUGGCUUUUACAAUGAAGUAUUUGGUGGCACACCACAUUUCCCCCUCAAGGACAGGGCAUCGAGCAUGGCUACUACUUGUGUCAGGAGAAGCGUUAGGGUGCACGUUGAAAAACAGAAUUGCGUUCCCUUUAACUGGUUUUAGUAAGUUGCUACCCUUUCCACAAUCAGACCAAAUUUUGCCCUUUGGCUCUGACUUGGGGAAGAGGAUCUCGCCACCCUGACUGACAUUUGCGAGAUAUAAAACUAGGGUUGCCAUCAAAGGCUCAUUCAAAAUCAAUAAUCUGUUGCCAAAAUAAUCAAACUUCUGUUUGGCGUCUUCGACCCCAUAAUGCAUGACCUGUAGGGGCUUCCCAUUCUCUUUGGGAAGGAAAGUCCACGCUGAAAGUCUCUCCUCAAUCCUUGCAAGUAGAUUAUCCUACAAGGCACAAAGCUGGAUUUGAAAUUGUGAAAAUCACAUAAGCCUUGACAUAGAAUGUGAAUGCAGCACAUCAAAUCUCUUCCUUUUCCAGUAACUACCAGUCAAUCUUCAGCAUAAACUACAGCCAGUCAAAAACGUUGAAAGUUCGAUAAAGUACCAAGGUCACAUAAGAAGAUAUAAAAUCAGAAGUUUAGCCUUAAUGACCAAGGAAUGAGCCUUGACAUAUUAAUCAUUUGGCAAUUACAAAUUGAAAACUAAUCUCAAACUACUUUUCAUGCGUGUCCAGACACAGAAACAGAUCUCUUGAAUGUAAGUUUAGAGUUCACACACCUAAGUGUAGAGAGUUGAACAUAUGAUCCACAAUUCAAGAAACUAUACUCCCGAGUGCAUGGGUUAAGUUAAAAUAGAGCCAAUAAGGAAACUUACAUCCAUGUUUAAAAGAAAUUCUGAAUUUGCAUGUAGCCCCUUCUCAACAAUUUUUGCUGAAUCAUCACCCUUUCCCAUAGAUGCUUCUUUUGCACCUUGUGCCUGAGCCCAACGCAAGAAUUUCAAAUAAUGCCAGACAUAAGAGAUUUAACUAAAUUAACAAGAGAAAGAUUUACCAAAGAAAUAACAUGAUCACAUUCCUCAUCCGUUAGAAAGCCUUUAUACAAGAACACCCUAAAGCAAGAAAAAUAAUGUCAGGUUUUUCACUAAAUAAGCCAAAGUCAUUAAACAUCACAUCAUUUGGGGGAUAUUUCUCUGAUUCAAAGUUGAAUCUUCAGCCAAAAAUAUCAAUUAAGUAAAUGAGCAGACUUACAAAAAUGACUAGAGGACCAUGACAUACAUACAAGAAACUUAAUACCAACUUAAUCCAUGUACCUGACCUUGGUCGCCAGGAGAGUUGGACAACUUGCAAUGGGUUAACUCUGUUGGUUCGAAUUGAGCUUCCCAGUAGUAUGAUAGUUUCGUGAUUGACCUCCUUAUCCCUCAAUUCCUUCCGGCUAAGCAAAUGAUCAUGAUACAAGAGAAAUUACUCAUUUAAGGAAAAAAAGAAGGCAGCAGAAGAAGAUAAAGAGAAGUAUAUUUCCUUAAUUCCUUCAAACACGUCACAGAUAUGGAAAAAAAUGACAAUCUAAGAAAAAUGUCACAAAAACCCACUGUAAAUAGUUCAUAGCUUAUAACACCCUCAUAUAAAGGAAAAGGAAGAAGUCAUCGCUCGAGAAGAAAAGGAAAGUCGCUCCUGCAUUCCAAUAUCGCAGAGCUCAUAAACACAUAAAAUGUUUUCAACAUUCAGAAAAAGAAAUCCCAGAUCAAGAAAAUAACGAUUUUUAACAUGUAUUGCCAAAUCGCCAAGUUACAAUACGAAGUCAAAGAGUAAUUCAUUGAAAGUGAAAUUGAAAACUAAGAUGGGUUUCUUUACCUCUCCGCAAAACAAUAGGAGAAUGGACCUGCAGCUGUGAGAACCGCAAAAACUAUAAGAUAAACAGAGGAAGCCAUAAAUGAAUGAGAAAACGAUCCUCAGAGAUCCAAAAUUGAUGAAUUGGGGAAUGGACAUAGAAAUCCAACAAUAUUUUCCAUGAAUAAAUGCGCG